GGAUGUAAGGGCAAUCUGGCUGCAAUAUCUGUCACCCCAUUAAUCCCCAGGGUUGAUUUGGCUGAUCUGGCUGACUAGGUGGGUGUCCCCCUCCUCCCGCACCAAUCCAUGUGCGUCCCUCCCGAAGCUGUGUGCUCAGUUGAAAAAGACUUGCUCAGUGAGAAAAGAUGACCUUUGCUCCAGAGGACAGGACCUGUCUUUGCUCAAGAGUAUAAGAGAAGCUGCUUUCCCCUGCUAGAACCUCCAAACAAUCUCUCAAAAAACUACUAGAUUUAAUAAAUAAAUUUGGCAACAUAGCAGAAUACAAAAUUAACACCCAGAAAUCUAUGGCAUUUUUU
rnacentral:snRNA from 1 species